GAUGAACGCUAGCGGCAGGCUUAAUACAUGCAAGUCGUGGGGCAGCAUGGGGUAGCAAUACUCUGAUGGCGACCGGCAAACGGGUGCGGAACACGUACGCAACCUUCCCAAAACUGGUGAAUAGCCCUCCGAAAGGAGGAUUAAUACACCGUAACAUAACGAAGUGGCAUCACUUUGUUAUUAUAGCUCCGGCGGUUUUGGAUGGGCGUGCGCCUGAUUAGGUAGUUGGCGGGGUAACGGCCCACCAAGCCUACGAUCAGUAACUGGUGUGAGAGCACGACCAGUCACACGGGCACUGAGACACGGGCCCGACUCCUACGGGAGGCAGCAGUAAGGAAUAUUGGUCAAUGGACGCAAGUCUGAACCAGCCAUGCCGCGUGAAGGAUGAAGGUCCUCUGGAUUGUAAACUUCUUUUAUCUGGGACGAAAAAAGGGCUUUCUAGCUCACUUGACGGUACCAGAGGAAUAAGCACCGGCUAACUCCGUG
rnacentral:rRNA from 1 species